AAUCACUGGUCGCCUGUAAUAUAAAGAUCACGAUCAAGAUUGAAUGAAGAAACUGAAGGAAGGUGUACAAAAACUAUACAGAGCAGCAACAGUCAAAAGAAGAAGAGGAAAUAUUAUAAUGAGCUUCAUGGUCGUUUAAACCUUGAUGCUUUUGUCAUUCUGUAAGUAUGUGGUUCUGUGUGAGGAAGAAUUCGUGAUACAGUUGUAUGUAUUUAUUGUUAUUUCUCCACUAAACAUAAUAGUAAGAUUUCCUGCUUUCGUUUCUUCGCUCGUCAUUCUUUCUAGUCUUUCCUUUCCUUUACAUAUGUAGACAUUCAUAACUGAUAUUUGCUCUUUCUCUUUUUACGCAUGUUUACCUUCCUUCUCCCCCUCCUCUCCCUUCUUCCUCUUCUUGCUCGUCUUCUCUUCCCUUUGCAAACUCGUACGCAUGCAGUCUUACUUGUGGUUAUCAUUUCCUCAUUUUCAUAUUCUCUUUUAUGCGCAUUCUUCUCAUUCACCGUCAUAAUUAUCCGGUAAAGCAAUGGUACGACUUAUUUGAGACAUUUACAUUUCAUAUCCUAGGCAGGCAAUGGUAGGAGAGUCAUUACUAAUGGUUUGAAGGUGAAGGUGUCAGUAAUACUCUCGGGGUUCGAUAAGGUAAGGAGGCUUCGAGGACUGUUUACAUUUCGAGGGUGGCAUUUCCGCCUUUGCAACGGCUUCACGUCACAGUAACAAAACGGCUGAAUAGUGGACACUGCUAACACAUAUCACAUAUUUCAUAUUCAUUAUUUAUCGCUCGGUCGUCUUGGUGUUCUUUACUGAUUUUACAGAGAGGAGAAACAUAAGCAAAAAACGUGAUAUGCCGCAUGAUAGCCGUAGCCAAGGUAAAGAUAAUGGAUUUCUCUUUACCUUGGCUGUGGCUGCUGUGACUUACUCAUACUUAAUGAAAUGUCCCAGUACAAGUUUAGAGUAAAAUUUGGAAAGACCCCAAUCUCUAAUAGCAAAAUGAGUGAUCGAUUUUUGCCUGUGGUUUCAUUUUUGGUUUGCAUCUCAUGUAGGAUUACUUAUAUUUAACAGGAAUUCUCGUGUCAUUCACAGUGCAAGGGCUAAUAUUUUCAUUCAUUUUCUCGCAACUUCUUAAAGACUUUCUCCUUGAUCUAGUCGAAUAAUCUGCCGUACUAUCACUGUAUUUAACGCUUUCCCUCAGUUAUAAGUGUUGUGUUGUGAUAAGAUUCUAUCAAUGAUCAGCUCUCUCAAGGAGACUUAGCACAAGAGAGGAUUUGAGACUAAGAGAAAACGUGGAGGAGGUGGAAGCAAGUGCGGCAGGUUAAUUACUUGUGAUCAUGACUUUACUGAUUUUAUAUCGGGCAAGAUAAGGAAUGACGAACAUGGUGUGGCGUGGCAGUAAGAUAGACGGAAGUGGUGAUGUAGGAGCCUUAGCAGUGUGUUGGGCAUGGAAGGUCCAGGAUGUUUAGGCUGCAUCUCAGUGCGGUCGUCCAUCCGGUGUUUCAAUGAGGGAUCGUUUUCUCUGAAGUUUUGCCAUCUGAUCGCGACAACUUUUAACAGGCCGUAGUGGAAAUUAUUAGUGUUUGCAAAUGUAUUUGCGAGGCGGGGCGAGGGGACAAAGAAAGUGAACAAUGAUGAUAAUAAUAUGGUGCGGACUCGUGUGUACAAUUGCAGGAAAUGGAAGGAUGAAGAAGACAAAUGAAUGGUGAUUAUCUGUUUGUGCCGUGAUGAUGAAGAUGUUACUGUACGUGAUGUUAAUUGUACUAUUGUGUGUGUUUAGUGAAAAAUAGCCUUGUUUGUUGUGGUGAAUAGAAGGGGGUAGGGGGAAUUAUCAUUGUCUCAGUUCAGUGUUGUUGUUGUUGUUGUUAUUAUUAUUCUUUUUCGGUGGUAGCAGUUAGUUGUAAUAAUAGCAACAGUGAAAGUCUGUCUAGGUUGUGGUUACAUGAUGAGAGAGAGAGAGAGAGAGAGAGAGAGAGAGAGAGAGAGAGAGAGAGAGAGAGAGAGAGAGAGAGAGAGAGAGAGGAAGCCAUGUAUGAUAAAUAGAGAAUGAGAGAGGAGGAGGAAGAGAGGAAGGAUAAUCAUCAUCAUCAUCAUCAUCAUCAUCAUCAUCAUCAUCUUUCGGCAUCCGUUAGGAGUCACCACGGUCACGCUUGGUCCUCUGUGCCUUCCUCAGCCACACCCGUUAUACUCGUAAGCAUGCCUUCUUUCACGCAUGCAUAAACCUUCCCUUAAGUCUUCCAGUGUUUCUCCGGCUGGGUAGAUCCAUCGACAGAAUCCUCUCCCCACACACUCCCCUUGACUCCCUCUCCCACUCUCUCCCCUUGACACGACCGAGCCACCUCACCCCGUAGUCUUACCUCCCCAAAACCGACGUUCUUAUGUUGAGCCUUUGGUGUAUGCUUGCUUGAUUUUGUCCAGCCUCGCAGAGAAUUGAAAUGUUGAAAUUCUCAUCUGUAAAUACUAUCUCCUUUCUCCCCCUCCCUAAACCCCAACUUUAACCCCCUUCUCUACAUUCCCCCAACCUUGCCUUCAUGUCUACCUCCACAUACUAUCCCCUCUCUCCUCCCUCUGUCCUUAUCACUCCCUCUCCCUUUCCCCUCCCUCUGUCCCUACCUCCACUCCUUCCAUUGUUUUUCCAUCUGUCUCUCCACUCCCCUCCCUCACUCCUCCUCUCCCCCCACCACUUAUUGUGUCACACCGGAUGGAGUCGUGUGAUGAGCGUGUGGAUGGUUGGGAUGCUGGAGGGGGAGCGACCUCUCCAACAUACGAGAGAGAGAGAGAGAGAGAGAGAGAGAGAGAGAGAGAGAGAGAGAGAGAGAGAGAGAGAGAGAGAGAGAGAGAGAGAGAGAGAGAGAGAGAGAGAGAGAGAAUAUUAGUUCUUGCAAGACUAUUUAUGGGGUAAAUAUAUAACGAAAGUAUAAUUAAGUUUGGAAAGAUUACUUGCGUUUAAAAGAGGAAGAGCUGUAGAGUAAUUUGUUUAGGGCAUUACUGGAAUCUGAUUUAAUGUAACACUGAAAGGAGACAUAGUGCUUUAUAGUAAGGAGGAGGAGGAAGAGGAGGAGGAGGAGGAGGAGGAGGAGGAGGAGGAGGAGGAGGAGGAGGAGGAGGACGACGACGACGACGCAGGUGUGACUGGAGGUGAGACAGAUAGUGUUGCUAUUGCGUAUUACUCCUUCUCCUUCUCCUCCUCCUCCAUCAUCAUCAUCAUCAUCAUCAUCAUCAUCAUCAUCAUCAUUAUAACGACCACCACUUAUCUACUACUACUACUGCUGCUGCUGCUGCUGCAUAUAGUGCAGUUCACUUUUUUUUUCUCUUUUUCAGCUCCUACUGACUGUAUUGUGUGUGUGUGUGUGUGUGUGAGAGAGAGAGAGAGAGAGAGAGAGAGAGAGAGAGAGAGAGAGAGAGAGAGAGAGAGAGAGAGAGAUUGUUAUGCGACAAGAUGGUUUUGUGUGUGUGUGUGUGCGAGCGCACACAUCGGAGGGAAAAAGAAUCUUUGUGUAAUCCUGCUGUCCUUGAUAUAUUUACGUCCCAUACACACACACACACACACACACACACACACACACACACACACACACACACACACACACACACA